rnacentral:rRNA from 1 species
UACGUAGGUGGCAAGCGUUAUCCGGAAUUAUUGGGCGUAAAGAGCGCGCAGGUGGUUGAUUAAGUCUGAUGUGAAAGCCCACGGCUUAACCGUGGAGGGUCAUUGGAAACUGGUUGACUUGAGUGCAGAAGAGGGAAGUGGAAUUCCACGUGUAGCGGUGAAAUGCGUAGAGAUAUGGAGGAACACCAGUGGCGAAGGCGGCUUCCUGGUCUGUAACUGACACCGAGGCGCGAAAGCGUGGGGAGCAAACAGGAUUAGAUACCCGCGUAGUCCCU